UAGUCAUAUGCUUGUCUCAAAGAUUAAGCCAUGCAUGUUUAAGUAUAAACCGCUUGUACCGCAAGGUGCAAAACGGGUGAAACUGCGAAUGGCUCAUUAAAUCAGCAAUCGUUUAUUUGAUUGUGCGCUAUUGUGGUGUUUGGUUUGGGGGUUCGCCUCUGGAUCAAAGUCCGCAAAUGGCUACAUGGAUAACCGUGGUAAUUCAAGAGCUAAUACAUGAAGGAAAAACAAGGUUGACUUUUCGCAAGAGAGGAAGACCCGCAUUUAUUAGAUACAU
rnacentral:rRNA from 1 species